rnacentral:misc_RNA from 1 species
CAAAUAUUUAUCAAAAUGAUCUCUACCAAUUAGACCAGUUAAAACAAAUCAUAAUUCAUUAUUUUAUCAAUGCCAUAAGAAAUCUGCAACCAGAUCUUUUAGAAUUCCAGCUACCAGGUUAAUUUUUCCCCUUAACCUUCAAAUCCUAUUCACACUAUAGCUCUUAAAGCUAUCCUUCUUUAAGUGCAUCUUGAAAUUCCAAAUGACCAAGCUACCCCAUGGUAUCUGUACAAGCAUAUAUAUAACUCACUUCUUCCCUGCUUCAACUAUUAAAGCAACCAAAUGAUUAAGAAGCCUAUAAUUUGAUGAAAUAUUAAAGGAAAAGGGGGAAAAGGAAGUUUACUUUCAAUCUUUGGUAUUGUUGACAAAAUUAUAUUCUAG